UACGUAGGGUGCAAGCGUUGUCCGGAAUUAUUGGGCGUAAAGAGCUCGUAGGCGGUUUGUUGCGUCGGCUGUGAAAUCCCGAGGCUCAACCUCGGGUCUGCAGUCGAUACGAGCAAACUAGAGUGUUGCAGGGGAGACUGGAAUUCCUGGUGUAGCGGUGAAAUGCGCAGAUAUCAGGAGGAACACCGGUGGCGAAGGCGGUUCUCUGGGCAUUACCUGACGGCUGGAGGAGCGAAAGUGUGGGGAGCGAACAGG
rnacentral:rRNA from 1 species